CCUACGGGAGGCAGCAGUGGGGAAUAUUGGGCAAUGGGCGCAAGCCUGACCCAGCAACGCCGCGUGAAGGAAGAAGGCUUUCGGGUUGUAAACUUCUUUUAACAGGGAAGAGCAGAAGACGGUACCUGUUGAAUAAGCCACGGCUAACUACGUGCCAGCAGCCGCGGUAAUACGUAGGUGGCAAGCGUUGUCCGGAUUUACUGGGUGUAAAGGGCGUGCAGCCGGGUUUAUAAGUCAGAUGUGAAAUCCCGCGGCUCAACCGCGGAACUGCAUUUGAAACUGUAGAUCUUGAGUACUGGAGAGGCAGGCGGAAUUCCUAGUGUAGCGGUGAAAUGCGUAGAUAUUAGGAGGAACACCAGUGGCGAAGGCGGCCUGCUGGACAGCAACUGACGGUGAGGCGCGAAAGCGUGGGGAGCAAACAGGAUUAGAUACCCUUGUAGUC
rnacentral:rRNA from 1 species